GGAUGCGAUCAUACAAGCACUAAUGCACCGGAUCCCAUCAGAACUCCGCAGUUAAUAUGCUUGGGCGUGAGGAGUACUAUGACGAGUGACCUCUCGGGAAGUCCACGUGUUGCAUCCC
rfam:Arabidopsis thaliana chromosome 1, complete sequence.